GGGGACGUAGCUCAGUUGGCAGAGCACCUGCUUUGCAAGCAGGGGGUCGGCGGUUCGAGUCCGCUCGUCUCCA
rnacentral:tRNA from 1 species